rnacentral:lncRNA from 1 species
UCUAUAGCAGAAGCCCCAACUUUCAUUUCAUUUUCCAGCAAGAGAUCUACAUAUAACAUCAGUUUCGCGAUGAGUACCUGGAAUUGGAAUUCAAAAUGAAGAAGAAGUAGAAGCAGUUAGCAACAAUCACUAACAGAACUCAAACGCAACCUAGAAAGAUCCAGCAGCCCAGUAAAUUGUAGAAAAACCAGCAUCAAUAAUAAACAACAAGAAUUGACCCAACAGAACUCGAUUUAAUCCAAAACAGCUUCAGCAAACCCAGAACUUAUCCAAAACUAGUUCAAAGAGAACCAAACUUGCUCGAAAUUAAACUAAUGAACAUCUACAAUUUCAUGAACUAGAAGAAUGGAAAUCAGCAAUCAAAAUUAAUUUGAAUUGUCCAAUGGAACAAUAUUUUUUUUGACUUUUAAAGGCUUUUCUAUUGUUUUUGUUUUGAAUUUUGAAUGGUAGUUUUCAGAUCUGGACAAAAAAUUGGAGCACACUGUUUUUGGGGGAAAUUAUAAGGCUCCAAAAGUUCUUCCCCUUUGUUAUGGCAUUGGCAUACCCUUUUAUAGGCAAAAUGAGGGCAACAUUUAGAUUUUGUGUUUGCCCUCUAGUCCUUUCUUUUAUUUUCACAAUAUUCUUCUACUUAUUGACCUGUUUCUAUAGUAAGUGCAUCUAUUUUUUAAAUUUAUAGUAAAAGUCCUAUUUUAGAAGGUUCUAGUGAAUACCAAUCAGUUUUAAAAGAUUCCUUUAUUCCUGAAUUUCCCCAAUUACCCCUAUUUAUACUAAGAUUUACUAAACUAAUCCAAAUGAAUUCAGCCUCCUUUUACCUUAGUUAAACCUAUCCACUAUAGCCAAUUUCCUAUGAGUAACAACUUAAUUGAAUUGAGCAUUACUGAUUGUCCUAACUAACUAAAUUGAAUUAUCUACAACCAAUUGAUAACAAACAAAAGAGGUACUAAGAUCAGAUUGAAGUUUAAACAAAUUCAAACAAGAUUGACUAAAACAGAUCAAACAAGAAAAAUAAUCUAGUAUUCAAACUAUUAGAUUCCCAAAUCUACAAACGACUCUAACCUACAAAUUGCAUCAGAACAGAAUCACAACAAGACAUUUGAUAAAAGAAGGACUAAGCAGAGGUAGAAAUACUAAUCGUUUUGUUAAACCAUAGUAAUCAAACUACACGAGUGAACAUGCAACAAGUAAAACCUAAUAUCUCUAUUGACCCAAACAGCCCCAAAUGAACACAGACUAAUCCUCAAUGAGUGAUUCUGAAAUAAAUCUAAAAUCUUAACUCAAACUUGCACAUGAAGGAGGAAAAGGAAAUGAACAAAAUGAUGAACUCACCAAUAAACUCGACAGUACAUGUUCAAAUUGGAACAUAGCCUGAGCAACUACUCGAAUUAGGGUCCUCCUAACCCCAAAUUUAAGGCCCGUGGGAUUAUGCAUGGAAUUGAGGGAUUCCGAUCUUUAAAUUCGUCACGAGGAGGUCUGAGAAGGCUCGAAGUGUGAAUUUUGAAUCCUUUUGAAGGCUUAAAGCUUUUUAGCAGUUUGACUGGAUUUUCAAUCCGGUAUUUGAGACGUUUGGAACCUAUCCGAAUCAUAUUAAGGAAGGAUUUGGGAGAGGAGAAUGAGGGGGUAUGGUGGUGUAAAUUUUGGGCCGUUUGGACAGUGUCGCCUCUGUGGGAGGCGGAGCUAACAAAUUUGACCAUUCGAAGGUCUGUGGUGGGAUUCGAACGGAGGUAAUGGCAGAUUCGUGGAAAGGAUGUCAAAUCAGUAUAGGGGUGUGAAGGGUAUUUUCAGACAAUUAUAUUAAAAUGGGGAAAGGGUUCCUGGUUGUUGGAUCAAAGAUAUUGAAGGGCUAGGAUUUAUCGACGCCCAAAAUAGCGUCGUUUGAUUUUAGCUGGGGGCGGACCGCGUCAAGGGGUUUGGGCCUGGGUCGUGGGAAGGGAAUUAAUUCCCUUGGGCUAGGGUUAUUGGGCCCAAAUGAGCAUCCCUUUCUAUCUUUUUUUUUUGUGUUUUUUUUUAUUUGUUUUCCUUAGUGUUUUCAUAUUUAUUUUUCUGAUUUAAUUAAAAUGUUAAAAAAAUAAAAAUGAAACCUAAUCUAUUUCCAACGUUAAGCUAAUUGAUUCCUAAAAUUGCUUAACAUCUAUUUCACAAUAAAUUCAAUAAUUAACAAUUAAAAGUGCAAAGAAACUAUUUUUGUUAUUUUCUUCAUAUUUUGCUCUAAAGAAAAUCAACCCCUAAUUAAUCCUAAAAUAUAAAAUUAGAUUCUAAAUGCAAACGUAUUUUUGUAUUUUUCAUAUGAAUAAAAAUGCACCAAUAAAAAUGCAAAUAAUUAACAAAAAAUGACACGAAAUUCAUAAAAUUGUAAAAAAAUGAAAAAGGUUAUUUUGUUUGAAUUUUUGGGAAUAAUUCAUAUAUUGGACAAAAAUCACGUGCUCACAGUUUCCCCUAUUUACUCGGAAACAUGAAAUGUUUUCAUGUAAAGAUAAGUGAGCGGAAAUGAGCGAUUUUUGCCCGUUCGAAUAUUCUUUGUGAAGCAUUUUUAAAAUUUUUUGACCGCACCCUCUUUUAGAGGUUGUCUACAUAUUCUGGCUAAACAGAAAUCACAUCAGUGUAGUUUGGGAGUGUCUAGUAGCUGAGACUACCAGGAGCUGUGAUUUCAUUGCGAUUGCUGCUGCUACUGCUCACUGACCUUCCUUAUUACACCAUGACAAAUAAAAGAAGCUAGACUAAGCUAUGAACCAUGAAUUAAAAGAUCCUAUCAAAAUUCUUCAACCUUGUUCUUGUACUUCCUUAUUGUCUUGUAUUCUCUUGGUGAAAUUCAUUCUUGUUACUUCAACUGGUCAACUGAGCUAUUGUUCCUUCUCUUCAAAUUACUAAACUUGAAUGUAUUCCUCUAUUAUAUGGGUGGGCUCUCAACUUCACAAAAAUAGACAAAACAAAGAAAACUUUCUGGCCCAGUUUGGAAAACUGAGUGCUUGUUACCAUGUAUUAAUAAGAAUUGAAAACUCAAACUUGAAUUGUGAUAAGACUGAAAUGUAAAUUUAAAAUUUUAAGACUGAAAUGUAUUCCCUGUUAUGUGGGAGGGCUAUCAACCUCAAAACUUGAAAAUUUAUAUACUGAAAUGUAGCUGUAAAAUUUGAAGACUGGAAUGUAUUCCUCUAUUAUAUGGGCAGGCUCCCAACUUCAACACUUGAAUAUUUAAAGACUAAAAUAUAAUUACAAAAUUUAAAGACUGAAAUGUAUUCCUCUAUUAUAUGGGCGGGCUUCCAACUUCAAAACUUGUAAAUUUAAAGACUUAAAUAUAACUUCAAAAUUUAAACACUGAAAUGUAUUCCUCUAUUAUAUGGGCGGGCUCCCAACUUCAACACUUCAAAAUUUAAAGACUGAAAUAUAACUUCAAAAUUUAAAGACUGAAAUGUAUUCCUGUGUUAUGUGGGCGAGCUCCCAACUUCAAAACUUGAAAGUUUAAAGAUUGAAAUAUAACUUCAAAAUUUAAAGACUGAAAUGUAUUCCUCUGUUAUAUGGACGGGCUCCCAGCUUUUAUAUUUAAACUUUAAAGACUGAAAUGUAUUCCUCUAAGUAUAUUUUACCGGACAUUAAUAAGAAUUCAGGCCCCCUCCCCCUUUUUGUUUUUUUUCUAUGGAUAUAUUUACGCCAAAUUGCGCAACUCAUGAUUAUUUUGAACUUAACUAAGCCACAUUUCUCAGAAGUUUACGGUCAAAUCUGUUUUGGUGCUUGCUCUUUCCCCUGCGAGAAGUUUCCCCGAAACAAAUGAAAUUUAUGCCCCUGUUUCAAUCAAAGAAAAAUAUUGUCAAUUUAAAGUGGUGGUUGGUUUGUGGCCUUGAACUUUGCGGCGAUUUCUAUUUAAAUUUCCGUGAUGUUUGAUUUCCGCUCGAAGACCCAACCUCUUUUCUGUUGUCCUCUCACAUACAAUACCCUUUUUUCUGUUCAAACUCAAUAUACUUUAUUUGUUGAACUGACGUCUUCCCAACCUUUGUGUGUCACAUGAAUCCCAAAGCACCUCCGUUGCCCCCACAGUAUGUUGUUGUUUCUUGGAAUAUAUGAUGGUCUUGUCCCUGAGGUCUGUUGCUCCCUUACUUCUUGAUAACUUUCAUUUCGAUUUGAAAACCCCACUAGUUUCUUGCCUAACCACUUCCAUUGUCACCCUUAUCAUAGGACACACCUCUUCUGCAUUCAAAACCCUAUACCUUCUGUUUGUCGCACUACUUCUGUAUUGACUUUAACCAACCCUUUUUCCUUAUGUGAACCCCAAAGCAUGUUGAUUGCCAUCUAUAGCAUGUUUUUCUUCCGAAUUGGAAUCCCUGACCUUGAAGUCUAUUGCUUUUUCGCUUGAUCCUUGUCACAUAAAAUAUUCUAUUCUUUAUUCAAACCCAAUACCCUCUAUCUGUUGCAUUGCUCAUGAACCGACAUCCACCAAACCUUUGUGUUUCACCAAGAUUCCCCAAAGCAUGUUGAUUAUUACCAGCUCAGUGCUCUUGUUGUUUUUCUUGACUUGUGACACUUUGAUGUGCUAGCCAGACCCUAUUUGUGCAAUUUGAAAGUUGCUGGCAAAUAUUGAAGUCAUUUCUCACUUGUUAUGACCAAACAGACCCAAAAAGGGGAAGUGAACAAAACAGAGUAACGGAGUGAAGGACACAUGAAAGAGAUGAUUCUUAAAGAGAAAACUGCGAAGUAGAAACCCAUCAGAUGUGGAUUCCAACUCUAAUGACCAUGACACACACAUGUAGAUAUUCUGCCAAUCAAACCUGAUGUGAUAGCUAAACCCCAUUUGUGCAAUUGGAAAGUUUGUGGUAAAUUUUGAAGUCAUUUCUCACUAGUUAUAACCAAUUAGACUCAGAAAGGAGAAGUGAAUAAAAUAGAAGAACGGAGCGAAGGACAAAGGAUAGAGAUGAUUCCUAAAAGAAAACUAACAAAGUAGAAACCAAUCAGAUGAGGAUUAUCAUGACAUGCACCUAUAGUUGUUCUGCCAAUCAACCUGAGGUUCAGCUCCUAUUGUACCCUUUGCGUUGUGAAACUAGGCUUCAAUGCUCCGCUUAUCCAAUCUGAUUUACAGUCCUUGUUCGACUUAUAGUGCCCAUAGGAUUUUCAUCAUCAACCCUCUCUCAUUUUGUUUUUUUGCUCAACUUUUCAUCGCCUCGAGGUGCCCAUGAGGGUUUGCACCAAUAAGAAUCUCUCAUUUUUAUUUUCUCGCAACUUUAUGACCAUGCGGUACCCAUGAGGGUUCUCAUCACUAAGAUUCUUUCACCUUUAUCUCUCAUCAGCUUUCAUCGCUUUGCGGUACCCGUGAGGGUUUUCAUCACUAAGACUCUUUCAUUCUCACUUUUCUUGUUUGGAUUGGAGUGUUGUCCCUGACAUGAGUUACCAUCACAUGCUUGAAUUUGCAUUUCUCAAAGACUGAUCGGAAGGUCUUCCUUUGGACUAUAAUGUGGGCAUUUGGGUAGGGUUAGAAAGAAAGGAUAUAAAGGCUCAAAACAAUUCUCAAUGGGGUUAAAACUAAAACUUUCGGAAUACGAUCUUUCACAACUAUCAUUACAUUCACCUAUAGUUGUUCUGCCUAUCAGACGGAUUUUUUAUGUUUUACUUGCCCCAGUUUCACAUGGUUCAGGCUUCAAAUGAUCUCAAAUUUUUCUUAUUUUCAAAAGUGUCCCGAUCAUCUCCCAAUGGCUUUAUGAUUAACUUUUAAGAUUAGGCCUAAACUGUGGGUGCAUGUCAUGUCACUAGAAUCGACAUUGAACAAAAGACAAAACAAAAGAUAAAAAGAACUAGACAAAGAAGGUGACUGGAGGUAACAAAAGACCGAAAUUUGUAUUAAACAAACGGUGAAACAUUUAAACAACAAAACAAACAGUUACAACCAUACUUAGAUAACACCACACGAGAUAUUAGACAAAUAAAGGGAUAGAAGGGUUUGAGUCACAAGACAAUAUCCGGAUUACAACCCUGAAAUAACCCGGAUAACUGAAAUGACAACACAAUGAACCACCAAAGCUCCUCCCGACUGACCCAGAAAUGGAGCGUCAUUCCAAUUACCAAGCACGACGUUUUUAGCCACUAAGCUUUGCAUCCAUAUUGUCAAGACCACUAUCUGCUUCAGUAUCUUCAACUUUAGUCAACAAGUUCCCAAGAGGAUUCUCAUACCCCAUGUAACUGGGCAUCAUCCCCACCAAGUGUGCCUCCUCAUGUAAAGGAUGCAGCGUGAUGCUCUAGGUGCCACUGUCUUGAAUCAAUUUUUCCUAGAUAAUCCUUUCUAUCUCUCUUUUCAAAUCCCGAACUAUGAUAUUCUGGGGGCCACUGUCUUGAAUUAAAUUUUCCUGGAUCAUCCUUUCUGUUUCUCUUUUCAAAUCCCGAAAAUUUUCCAAUUGUGCCCUAGAGCAUUGGAGUGAUAUUCGCACUUUUUAGAUGAGUCAAAGCUUCUCGUACGUUGGUCCACCUGAUUUGGAGGAAUGGAUGCAAUCAUGUCAUGUUUGUUUUAACUUCUCAAAUAAGCUUGCAUAGGACUCUUCUAUUAGUGUGAAUCUAUCAUUCAACUUUUGUUUCCUUCUAUACUUGGAUGUGGGUUAUAAGGUUCUUGAAAAAUUUGCGAAGGAUGGUGGAGAUUUUGUGAUGUUUGUGCGCGCUUUAUUGGGUGAUUUGAUGGCUGGGCAACAUACUGGGAUGGAUCAACGGAGUAUGUGGGGGGGAGGGGUUCUGAGGUGGAUAGUAAUGCUUAGGGGGGUCACGGAAAACCUAAUGAGGCUGUACAUACCUUCGAAAUGUACUCCUAGGACCUCUUCUGGACCUUGAUAUCAUCAUGAUUUCUUCAUCCCUCCCAUUCGAGUCACCAGAUUCAAUUUGGGCAGCCUGAGCUGCAUCUUUGAGAGUUGCUUGACUUUUAAUUCUGCUUGUCUUAAGACUGUUCUCUACCAUUUCUCCUAUUUUGAUUACUUCUAAAAAUAAUUUACCAACUGCAAACAUCAUAUUUUGAAAGUAAUCCGGCUCUUGAGCCUAAAGGAAAACAGUGACUACCUCGUGGUCAUCCAUGGGUGGAUUAGCUCGAGCUGCUUGAUGUCUCCAUUUAAUGGCACAUUUCCUGAAACUUUCACUUGAUUUAUUAUUCAGGUUUGAAAGGGAAAUGCGGUCUGGGGCAAUGUCAAUGUUUUAUUGGAACUGUUUGACAAAUGUCUGUGCCAUGUUAUUCCAGACGUACCAGCUAGAUGUGUCUUGGUCCAAAAACCAUUCAGAUGCUACUCCCGUGAGGCUUUCCCCAAAAUAAGCUAUUAGUAGUUCUUCAUUUCUUCCCACACCUCUUAGUUGAUUGCAAUACCUUUUUAGGUGGGUUAUGGGGUCUCCAUGUCGAGGGUACUUUUCAAAAUUGGGAAUCAUAAACCAUGCAAAAAGUGGACAUCAGCGAACAUACAUAGAUCUCUGAAGGCAACACUCUUUUGACCUGCCAUUGCUAGCGUGUUUUUUCAGCCAUUGUUCUAAUAUUUUCACUCUUUGGGUUAUUUCUUCCUGUACUCUCGUUCGGGCAGGAUUCUCAAUGUUUGUAGGAAGAUCGAAUGAGUACGAGUGGUGCUCUUACUGUGUAGCAAAUUGUGACUCAUGACGGGGAUCUCCUUGACCAUUGGCCCAUGUUUGAUGUAUUUUAGUCAUUUUCUAUUUCGGUGUUCUAUUUUCCUCAAACACCAUAGACUCUAGUUGAACCCUCUGUCCCUAAGUCUCUUGAGCACUUGCAACAGCUUCGAUGUCGUUUAUCAUUUUUCCUCAGAUCUUGUGUUUCCAGCUUACCACAACCCGACCACCUCAACUUUCUUCACAAUUCAAAACAAAACAUGUUAGAAUGGAUUGAGUCGGUCCUAAUUAUUCACAACAUCUUUUCCAAUUUAUUUUAUUUCUUUAUUCAAUUUUUCUUUUCUAUUUUUUUUAUUGUGGUCGAAUCUUAUGGAGAUUGCCUACGUAUCAUGAUCCCGCAUGAAUCAGACCGCGCGUAAUUCUUACAAAUAAAAGGUAAAAACAAAAAAUAUAUUUUGGGACUUUUCAAUUUUCAUAACAAAACAAACUUUGAUUACAAUGGUUUAAAAAUUGACAAACUUAAACAAAAAACAGACUCAAAAGAAAUACAAAUCCGAAAAUCAAACAACCCACAUACUCUAAUAGAAAAAUACAAACUCAAGAACCAACUAACAGAUUCUUUCCCCUACAUGCCAAUUUUAACCAAAUGGCUGUUUUUUUGCAAACGUGGCCCCUUCCCAAUUUCACAUGAAUUUUGAGGCAAAGGAGGAUUAUUUUAUGACAUUUCACAAACUUGUUCGUACUUUUACGAAAAUAACCUUUGAACAACUGAAAGAUACUCUAAGGCUAUCUUGGCAAGAACGGUUUAAGACACUACCGAAGAUGGCUCGGCUUAUUUUGACCAAAAUACAAGCGGUAUUCACUUGACCACUGACUCUUUUUCUUAUUUUUCAAAUUACAAAUAAAAGACCCAGUAUUGCAAACACGGCCUUUCAGCGCCUCGGGGACGAAAAAUUUAAGGUAUGUGGGUCAACUGGCCAAAACUGUAAAAAUGACCAAAGGUGGCCAUUAUACAAAGUCAGCCUUCUGGCGUUCCUUUCGGGAACAUUCGGCUACUUUUGGCGAAAAAGGCAUCACCCGACUUAUUUAUAACGAAAAUUAAAAUUUCGACAUUUUUUGGCUAUUUUUGGAAAGGGGAGGUUGGACCCGAUAAGGGUUGCCUACGUAUCUCACAUCCGGUGAGAAUCAAACCUGCGUAGUUCGAGCAAAUAAAACAACUAUUUUUGAAAACAAGACUCUUUUUUCUUUUUCAUUUUCAACAAAUAAAACGACUAAUUUUCCCCAAACUAAAAUAUAAACUCUUUUUCUUUUUCUUUUCAACAAACAACUUUCCAAAAAUAAAAGACUAUUUGUUACAUUUUCCUUUGCUUUUUAUAAAACAAACUAUUAAAAAUAAAACAAAAUUAUUAAAAAUAAAAUAUUUUCUUUUUUUUAUUUUCUCAAAAUUUUGGCAGAGUUUUGACAGUAUUUAGGCAUUGGUUUUUCUACAACUAAGCAAUUAACUCCCUACACUACUAUGUCUCUCUUUUUCUCUUUUUUUUCAAUUUCACAAUAUUCUCAAUAUUCAAAUACCGGUCAGCAUGCAGGUUCGUGACAAAUAAAUGCAUGGAAAACAAAUAGGAUGCAUCAGGAUGGUCUUUUCAUUCCAGAUUGCUAGUCCUAGACGGGCCCAACCCCUGUGUUGAGUCUAAGUAAAAUGCAACAUCAUGAGAGUAAGCGUUCCUACUAUGGAUCCGGCAUGAUGUCAUGUUAUUCAAGGUUCAAACCUGGGUAUGUGUUCUACACUGUGUACCCGAGCGAACAACUUGAGUCGAGGAGGGGGCAACUUACCGGCAACAAAAGGCCAUCCGGCUUCGUAACUUGUUCGGCCUCUUUCUUAUUUCAGGAUAUGACACUAACAGAAUAGGGAAUCUCAACCAAUAAGCACAUCCCCGGAGGUGAGAAGAGAAGGGUUUCAACACAGUUUAUAUAAAGUUCAGAUAAUAUCAAAGCGAUAACAUUUAAGAAAGUAAAUUAUUAAAAGCGCGCCUAAAGAAACUAUCGCGUUAUUAUCUUUUGGGGUAGGCCGUGAAAUUCGCUAAAUGGCCCUUCCCGAAGUGUAAGUAUUUUUUAUUAAUCAUUGACUGAGGGCCUCGCAAUUUGCAUUUUUAUUCGGCGAGGCUUGUCUCAUCAUUUUUAUUUAAAGGUCAAUCCUAAAGUAACUAUGAUUUUCUAUUUUUAUUUGUAUCUAUUAAUCAAGAAAAUAUCCUAAUCAAUUAUUAAUAUUAGUAAACCAGCCUUUGAAAUUGUUACACAUUCCAAAAUUUCCACAGCCAUGGACAUUGGGCCUGAAAUUUGCCCAAGCAAGUCAGCUGGUGUCUAGGGAGCAGCUGGUCGAAUCCCUGGGGUAGCAAUAUAAUGAAUUGUCAAAUGGCUGCUCACUAACUUUACCCAAACUCUCAUGAAUGGGAUCCACUCUUAUGAUAAAAGGAAAUGAAUAUGCAUUUACCUAAAUCAAUUAGAUACUGACCCUCAAAUCGUUCAAAAGAGUAAUUAUGUCGUCCUGAUUUUAAAAAUAAACAAACGUUCUAAUAAAUAUACUCACGCUUGCAAUUAUAAGACAAAUGUUAUACUUCCUAAUUGUUACACUUUUAAACAAAUUUAUAAACCAGCUAAUGAGAAAACACCUAAGACUAAAGUAGACUAUUAACUCUGACUACUGUAUUAUAAUUGUCAAAGCUACUGCAUUACGAAAUUACUUAAGACGCAUGUUUAGCUAAACAUAGAACUCGACGUGACAGCAUACCGAUUCUAGCUUGACUAUAAACUUAAACUUGUUUGUGAAUCUGAGUUUUUAAACAGAAAAUUGCUAAUAUGAACCAGUAUUAACCAUAUUAGAUCUGAGGCAAAAUAACUACAAAUCAACAGUCCAACAAUCUACAUAUUACAGUUCAAAUUGCUUACAUUGUAUAGCAAACCAGAUCACAUAAAUCUGCUAAAAUAUAAUGAAAUUCACUAACGACAGAUCUAUAGCAGAAGCCCCAAUUUUCAUUUCAUUUUCCAGCAAGAGAUCUACAUACUACAUGAGUUUCAUGAUAAGUACCUGGAAUUGGAAUUCAAAAUGAAGAUGAAGUAGAAGCAGUUAGCAACAAUCACUAACAGAACUCAAACGCAACCCAGAAAUAUCCAACAGCCCAUAAAAUUGUAGAAAAACCAACAAUAAUAAACAACCAGAAUUGACCCAACAAAACUCGAUUUCCAAAACAACUUAAGCAAACCCAGAACUUAUCAAAAACCAGUUCAAACAGACCCAAACUUGCUCGAAAUCAAACUAAUGAACAUCUUAAAUUUCAGGAACUAGAAGAAUGGAAAUCAACAAUCAAAAUUUACUUGAAUUGUCUAAUGGAACAAUAUUUUUUUUACUUUUAAAGGCUUUUCUAUUGUUUUUGUUUUGAAUUUUGAAUGGUAGUUUUUAGAUCUUAAAAAGAACUGGAGCACACUGUUUUUGGGGGAAACUCUAAGGCUUCGAAACUUCUUCCCCUUUGUUAAGGCAUCGGCAUGCCCUUUUAUAGG